AUAACUUUCUUGACCUUUCGACUAAGAUCAAGUGUAGUAUCUGUUCUUAUCAGUUUAAUAUCUGAUACGUGGAUUUACAUGUCAAUAUGAUAUUAAAUUAUUAUUUUUGUGAAGGAGGAUCCACAUGUAGCUUGCUACAUGGAUCCUUGAGUAUCACCCUGGUGUUGCACUACUGCUACGGCUUGUGCACCCCAA
rfam:Triticum urartu cultivar G1812 contig290463, whole genome shotgun sequence.